AUGGCCACCAGCAACGAGUUAUCGAUGAAGCUCCUGAUCGAAGGCAAGUCUCAGAAGGUGUGCUUCGCCGAGGCCGGCAGCGAGUUCGUCGAGUUCCUCACCGGCCUCCUGUCCCUACCGCUAGGCACCGUCACCACCCUCCUGACCAAGGAGCGCAUGUCGGGCAGCAUCGGCAACGUGCUCGGCAGCAUGGAGAAGCUGGACGCAAGCUACAAGAGCAGCGAGCUGCCCCUCAGCCCGGCGGUCGCCCCCGCCGCGCUCUCCCGCCUGCAGCAGCUGCUGGGUGUGCAGCUCGGCAACGCCAACAACAACAACACCGACGGCGUCACCUAUUUAUACACUUGUGAAGGUAAAAAGCAAGCUCCCCCGGGCUACUUGGCGUUCCAAGACAGUGGCACUGACGUCUGCUCAAAAUUCUUCUCGGCGGCCAGCGGCGGCGUCUGCCCCAGCUGCUCGCGGCCGAUGAACACGUGUGGGGGGCACAUACUUGUGGAAGCCAAGGGGUCCGCGGCCACGACGACUCCGCUGCAGCCGACAUACACUGUCGGGGACGACCUCUCCGUGGCUCCGGCGUCCAACGUGGUGUCGGGCAUCACCCUGCUCGCGCGGUGCGGCGUCAAGGACCUGAGCACCCUGCAGGAGAGGACGGUGAAGGUCGGCAAGGAAGAGGCACUGGGGAUACUCGCUGCUUCGCUCACGUCCAAGACCAUGCUGACUGACGUCUUUCUGCCCAAGAAGAAUGCUCGCUGCAAAAGGGAAGCUCCCGAGGAAGUCAUUCAUAUAUGA
rnacentral:rRNA from 1 species